rnacentral:rRNA from 1 species
UACGUAGGGGGCAAGCGUUGUCCGGAAUCAUUGGGCGUAAAGAGCUCGUAGGCGGUUCGGCAAGUCGAAUGUGAAAUCUCCACGCUCAACGUGGAGGGGUCAUUCGAUACUGCCGUGACUCGAGUCCGGUAGGGGAGUGUGGAAUUCCCGGUGUAGCGGUGAAAUGCGCAGAGAUCGGGAGGAACACCCGUAGCGAAGGCGGCACUCUGGGCCGGUACUGACGCUGAGGAGCGAAAGCGUGGGGAGCAAACAGGG